AUUCUACAGCCGGCUAGGUGCUGAGUGGACCUUCCAGCUCAAAUUAAAUUGGCCUGCUGCAUCAGAAAGAAUCAAUUCCAGAAGUGUCUAGAACAUGUAACUUUUCUUCUUUCUCCAGUUUGUUUAUAGGAAGAACUUAUAUGAACUACAAUCAAUUUAUACCACCUGUGUGAUUGGUUCUACCUGUUAUCUAUCUACCAGUAACAAUCUCCCUGAAAACUGGAAUAGAAACGCAAGCUCCUUCCUUCUUAGGAUAUCAUAAAAAUGUAGUUGUACCACUUCCCCUCCAUUACUGAGUUUUGGGAGUUUAUUUGCUCCCCAGUCUCUCCCAUCUGCAUAAUCCCAAACAGAAAAAGUGAGACCAAGACAUUGUAAACUGUUGGUUGCAGAGGUGCGAGUAGUUGGAGGAUACUAUCAGUAGCGCUUACAGUCACAGAAAGGAGCAGUGUUUGCUUCUCGGGUUUCAUUGACUUCUGGUCUGUGUCUCUCCAUCUGAACUAUCUUUAUUCCUGUACCAUUAUACAGUGGACCCACAAAUGUCAUAAAGUUAACUUUCCAAGAGAAUUACAAUGAUGCUCUGCAAGACCUGCUUUUAAAAGUAUUUAAAAAACAACCUUUUUGUAGGUUAAUAGUUUUAUAUAAUGACUUAUUUUUUUAGCUGUGCUUUGAAAAAGUUGCUUUGUGUGUAUAUCUUUAAAUAAAAAUAGCUGAUCAUU